GUCGCAGAAGCCCGCUCCUCACGCGGAGCCGAUCGGAACUGGCGGCGGGGCUGCAGGUCUUCCAGGAGCGCUCGUGCGCGGACGCCUGGCCACAGGCCGCCGGGGGGGAUAUAACCGGCAGCUGAGCUGGCCUUUUUGUGUCCGCAAGCUUCGGCGCGGCUGCCGCCGCCCAUAAGCUACCGGGAGGAGCUUUACGACUUCCCCGCCUGCAGGGCCGGGCGUAGCAAGGGCCAGACGCGUCACGAGCAGGCGCUGCGCCCCAACCGGCCGGCUCCUGGCGGGCCCGUUGCGGAGAAGAUCCUCAAUGGCCUGCGGCAGCUGCAGCCUCGGCAGUGCACUCGCCUCACCUGAUCCCGGGAUGGUGAUUGCUCAUGCCAAAGCCUUGGACCCCUCCCGGCCUGUGACCUUUGUGACCAACUCCAACUAUGCAGCGGACAAGGGGGCUCCGUAUGUGGAUGUGAUCUGUGUGAACAGCUGCUACUCUUGAUAUCAUGACUACAGGCACCUGGAAUUGAUUCAGCUGCAGCUGGCCACCCAGUUUGAGAAGUGGUGUAAGAUGUUUCAGAAACCCAUUAUUCAGAGCAAGUACAGAGCGGAAAUGAUUGCAGGGUUUCAUUAGGGGGCAAGUCGUAUAUCCUCAUCCAGAUAUGUGGGAAGUUCCGUGAAUACAUCUGCAAAUAUCUUAUCUUGAGAUGCUCUUCUCCCCGCCGGGCGCCUGACUGUAGUGAAGGGAAGCUUGAACGUGAACACCAACCGGGCUUACGCUGACCUCCUCUCCUACCCAUGGUUUCGUGCCCCUGUGUCUGUCCCACUGCCAAAGUAACCUGAAAUUACUAGAGGAGGUGAGCGCUGAAGUCAAUGUCCUCAGAGCCAAGGAUAUUGUCCUCUAGAGCCAAGUCCACCCCUUUACUUGGCAGGGCCUCCAAGAGAUGAGCUGCUGUCCACCCCAUCAGCCCUCACCACCAGACCACCAGGAAGGACAGACGCUCAGGUGCCAGAGCUGCUGCCACCGUCCCCCAAGACACCACAAACAGUCCCUUCACUGCUUCCAGUUGUGUCCGCCUCUGCGCGCUGCCCCCAAACUCCUUGCAGAUUUGAAAACUGAGGAAUAAAAAUGAGCAACGCUUGCCCUGAGCCGCCUUAUUGCUCCAUUCACAUCCUGAUUUUCUGGGUCACCAAUUUUCCAGUUUUUUUUAAAUUAAACUUUUCAUUUUCA